UACGGGGGGGUGCGAGCGUUGUCCGGAAUCACUGGGCGUAAAGGGCGCGUAGGUGGCCUGAUAAGGGUGUGGUGAAAGUCCCGGGGCUCAACCCCGGAUCUGCCGUGCCGACUGUUGGGCUGGAGUACUGUAGGGGCAGGCGGAAUUCCGGGUGUAGCGGUGGAAUGCGUAGAGAUCCGGAGGAAGACCGGUGGCGAAGGCGACUUACUGGACACAUAUUGACGCUGAGGUGCGAAAGCGUGGGGAGCAAACAGG
rnacentral:rRNA from 1 species